rnacentral:rRNA from 1 species
GACGUAGGGCGCGAGCGUUGUCCGGAUUUAUUGGGCGUAAAGAGCUCGUAGGCGGCUUGUUGCGUCGGCUGUGAAAUCCCAUGGCUCAACUGUGGGCUUGCAGCCGAUACGGGCGGGCGUAGAGUUCGGUAGGGGAGACUGGAAUUCCUGGUGUAGCGGUGAAAUGCGCAGAUAUCAGGAGGAACGCCGGCGGCGAAAGCGGCGCACUGGACCUUUUCUGACGCUGAGGCGCGAAAGCU